CUUGUUGUGACAGUCAUGUCUUCAAUGGGGGAGGAGCAGAUCUGUGCUCUUAAGGACAUUGGCCCAAAGUAAUUUCUCGAUGGUUUGCAGAUGUUGAUUGCUAUUGAGUGGAAGGGAUUUUGUAAAAGCUAUCAUAACUUGCCAUUUAAAAAAUUAAAGAAUAGACUAGUUAAAAUGCUCAUGAUGGGUUAUCAAAACUGAAAACAAAAUUUCUAUUCUGGCGUGUUAUUAUGUUUUUUCAGU
rnacentral:misc_RNA from 1 species